GAGCAGGCCCGGCCCUGGGCAGGUGCAACCGGUGCGGCUGCACAGGGCCUGGGGCAGUGAAGGUCCUCCACCUGGGUAUAGUACGUGUAGACCAACGAAAUCACUCAGCAGGUCCUCAUAUGAUACAUAAUUUUUUUCGACAAAAAGGUCCCCGUUUAUCAUCUCGCACAGGGCCCCUCAACCGACAGGGGGGAGCGAGCAGGGAAGACGCAUAAGACUCGAGAUGGAGAGGGUAGAAGAGGUGGACACAAAUUGUGGACAAGGAGAGGGAGAUGGAGAGGCGAUGGGCAGGUUUCUUCUCUCCAUUGUGUGUGGUCGUCAUUGAAAUUGGCGCAGGAAGGAGGCACGGCUAGGGGGCACCUCUGAUGAGCAUGGGCCCCCUUCGCACUGCCUCUCUCUCUCCUCUUGAUGCUCAACGGGAGGUUUGCAAGUCACCGCCGCCACACGUUUCUUCUCAGGUGCAGGGGUAGCGCCGUGUUGCUGUGUGGGUUGGAUGGCCGAUGUCGAUGUCCGAAUUGGUGGUUGGCCUGUUGAGGUUCGUGCUUGUGUCUGGUUAUUGGUAGGGGAACAGUGGACAGAGGAGCACCACGCGCCCUCGCAUCGGCAAGGUUGCGCGUGCGAUUGAUCAGAGAAACUGAGGCAUUGACACAAGAGAGCUCGGUGUCACACCCGUCGGCCGAGCAGCAAGCCAUAACUGGAUAACCAAAUCACCAACGCCAUUCUCAAAUGCCACUGCUAGCUACUGCCUCCCUGAGCAGCAAGGUCAUCGAAUACCAUCCAUUCGCACAUUCUGAUAUCCUUUUUGGUGUAUAUUUACUUUCUUUAGAUUUCUAAUGCCACAUUUCCCCAACUAUUUUGUCGAUAAGAUCUUGGUGUUUAACAAAGGGUCUUCGAAACUAAUGCCGAGAAGGAGACUGAAAUUAUGUAAUAGAAAAUUAUAAAGUUUGAGCUCCAAACUGCACUAUGAUUCGUUGCUAAGUUGGUUGAAAAGUGGUUGAGAUGAUUUGUUGGCAGCUUAAAGAUGGAUUCAAAAAAUUAAUGCCUGCUAGCGAUUUUAUACAAUUCAGGUCACUCCAUAAUUUAGGUCACUCCAUGUGAUUGUGGAUCCCAAAAAAACACCCACACCUGCCAGACUAUAUUGGUAGAAAUUUUUUUAUGUUUUCACUAAAGGCAGGCUAUAUGCACAAGAUUGCCACAUAGAGUGUUGUUUAUUAUGCUAACUGAAAGAAUGUUAGUGUUAUGAAUUCUAGGAGCAAAUCGCCGCUGCAUCAAGGUAUCUAAAUGGUAGAAUUGCAUGUCUUGAGCUUAUAUAUUACCAGAAUUCUAUUUUUCGUUCUUUGUACUAUACAUAUUCAUCGUACUUUUAUUGUGAUACCAAUAUGCUCAUAGUUUUCUUGUGUUUCUGAUAAUUUAGUAUAGUUAUACGAUUACUGAGAGCCUACACAUGUUUUUUAACAGAUGUGAUGUUUUUCAUUUAUGGUAGACAGAUUUGAAAAGAUAUUAUCACCUUUUGCAAUAGUACUUUUGGUGAUUUAGUUUUGGCUAAUCUGAAAUGUUUUUAGUGAUAUGAAGAACCACUCGAUUUGGCUACUGAUCCACACACACAACCUCUACUUUUGUUCGACCCGCCGCCUCCCCAUCCUCCAGGCGAGCUCGUCGCGUCGCGUUGUCAGGAUGAGGCGCAGGCCGCCGCUCGCGCCACCACCCAUCUCGCCGCUAGCAGCACCACCGCGUCGUGCCAUCGCAUGGAGAAGGGCAGCAGGUGGCAGGCAGAUGCAGAGUAGCCUGCUGCUCGCACCGCCACCGCGCGCUAUGCUUCACCGGGGGAUUAGCUGGUGGAGCUCCGUGGCCGGCAGAUGCAGAGAAGCCCGCUGCUCGCACCACCACCGCCACGCUUUGCCGGGGAGAAGCUGAUGGAGCUCCGUCCGUCAUGCAUGUUUCUGUACCCGCGAGCUUCUCCUCGUGACCUCGAUGCCUCUGCAAAUUUCUCCAUCCCAUCCCUUGCAGAAAAAAUGGUACACCCAUGUGGCAUAGAAAUCUUGAUUCGUUUCCUGGAGGAACGACCGUGAGAAGAGUUUCUCUUCACCACCAGCAAGGAGAGUAUAUUUUUUUCAGUGUUGUUUGGUUCUAUGUUGGUUAGAAGUUCGAUUUGGCGUGAGAAAUUUACUCAGGGGUACAGACUCCCUAUUUGUAAAUGAUACUUGGAGAAGAGCAAUAAGGAAUUAACUUCAUAGUUAGUAGUUCAUACUUUGCCCCAUUGUACAACUUUGAUGGUCCAAUAGAUUAAAUUACAAUGCAUUCCUUCGUAGUCAUUAUUUUGGCUCAGUCCAACCUUGAUUUUGGUUGAUCCUAUCAUUCAGCAGAUUUGUAGGACAUCUAGGCUAUAGUAGUUACACUAGAGUCAUUGUGUGCUCCAUCUUCACUAACUGAAGUUCUUGAUGUGUAGGCAAUCUUGAAGCCAUUGAAGGAGAUGCAUAGUGGAUUCGAUAUGCUUUCUAGGGGUCUCACUAUGUUCAAUCAUAUAGAAAGUUCGAACUUGACAUCAGAGGUUGCAGUGAUGAUUUGGCUGGAGUCUAUGGAGCCAACUUUACUCCUAUGUACAAGAUAAAAGGAGGAAACGUGGCCCAAGGCUUCUCAGCUGUUUGGGAUGUAUCACGGCUUUCUCUUCACUGGCGGAAUACCUUUAAUACAUCUGCUUCUUCCUCCACAUCACUCCGGGAAGUGGCUACAGGCCACCAUGUUGAUUGGUUACCAACGAGGAGUGCGGCUGUGCCUGGUGGGCUGGAGCGAAGAUGUGGCUGGCUGGCUGGCUGUUGACUACUCCUUGGUGCAGAAGAUUUCGAUGGCGGCAUUAGGCCAUGGAUGUGUCCUUCAGGAUGUCCUUCUUUCUUGUGCUCUGCUCCAUUCAUUUCCUGGCCACGCUGAGCUACAAUAAGAGACUAACUUUGGUGGGAUAUGAGGUGUUUGAUCAGAAAUUCAUAAGCAAAAGACGCAUGGGCUCAUGGAAAUCUACAAUAAUUUGGCCAACUAUUAUAUGCGUCUGUUGUAGCUCCAUAGUUUGCUAUGAAUUUGUUAUGUCGAUCUUCACGGAAGGAGAAGCCUGGACACUCUUUAUAUUAAAGUGAUGAUUCUGAGAGUAAUACAUAGGAGGAGCUAGCCAUUGAAUUAAUUACAGCAUGGCCAAUCCACUUUCAGUAUCUUGGGUGACUUCUGAUGUCUGGACCAUUGCUCGAUUCCUUCCCUACUUGGAAAAUGGCUAGCUACUUACAUCUUGCAUCCACAAAGAAAUCAAAAUACAUGAAAUGGAUGAAACUACAAUUUGGUAGCAAAUUGAACUGUACUUCAUGGAGAACUAUAUUUAGUUGUGUGGCUUCAGGUGACAUGGACUAUUUUCAAUGGGUUCUCAGUUCCGAAAUCAGCUCCUCUCUUGAUGUAUUGUUAUGCUAUUUCCGUACUGUUGUAAACAUUUUGAGUAGCUCUCAUCGAACAGCUUAUCUCGCACUUUACACUGUUGGGCCCUCUCUUAUGAUGACUUCAGAAGUAAUUAUGUUAGACGUGGCUGCCGCUUCACAAUGCUUUAUAUUAUUGCUUGGCUAAAAAGGAUUAGAGGUACAUUAUAUUUUUCAUAUGGUUAGUAUAUUCUAAAUGAUACAAUACUCAAAAUACUUUACACAGCGAUCGACUAUGUGAAAGGUUGAGGGCGUGUGGACUGAUAGGCUUAUUUUCUAUGUGAAAGGUUGAGGGCGUGUGGACUGAUAGGCUUAUUUUCUGACUAUUAUCCUCAAUUUGUCUAAAUGCUUGAUGCAUUUUGGAUGACGGGUCUUGAGAAAACCAGUUGUAACAUAUUCCUCUAUUUAUAUGGCUGCAUAUAAGCGUUUGCUACUAUGUUCGUGAUUCUGUGUAUUUUUUAUCCUAAUUUCAUCCUAUUGACUUCGUUUUAAAAAUUAUUUAGCCACGUUAUACAAUGUGUAAAUUGUCGCAAAUUCCACAGGAUCGUGCGCCAAGGCGCACAUCUAAAUCUAGUUUUAAUAGAGGGGACCACCCCAUGUGGGAAAAAUAGGUGAGAGAAAGUGUGGAGAAAGAGACUAGCAUGUGGGGACUAGGGGCUGCAUGCAUGCAUCCGAACGCUGUUUUUGUGUCCGACGUCCCCGGUAGAAACUCUAUACGCGAUUUUCACCAUUUCUUGUCCGCUAAAUGCUUCGUUGGUCCGAGCCGACCAAUGCUCCCACCUCUCCCAUCUCUCCCCUCCCUGGCCACUUCCGAGCCGCCGCCUCCUACUCCUCUUUCGAUUCCCCGCCACUACGCUGCUCGGUCGCUGCCCUACGUGCGCCUGCCAAGCACUAGCCCCGCCCUAGGCUUGGUCGUCGGUAGGGAGCUGGGUGGCGGCGCCGUCGUUGGCAUGGAGGCGGGACAGUGAGCAGGGGGCAAAGAGGAGGUGACGACCAUGUCGACCACGGUCUGGAGGUCACCAGCGGAUAACAGAGCGAUCGCUCACGCCGUUCCUUCUCCGUCGACCUUCAAAGCUGCGUGGUUCCUCCGCAGCCGCCGCGCCGCCCGGACCUCCCAACACCGCCUGACUCGGCCAGGGGACGAGCUGGGUGGCUGGAUCUCCCAGCGCCGCCACGGCUCCUGCUGGAGGGCAAGCCUUUUCCGGUGAUGGGCUUCAGCGAUCAGCGGUUCCAUGGAUCUCCCAGUUGCCUCACCAUCGCCUCCAAUAUACAAGGGGUCAUCGCAAUCUCCACUGCCAAAAGAGAGACGAGGAGAUCCCACGGUGACCAUCUGGCCAUGGAGCGGGUGGUGCUGGGGCGUUGUGAUUCCACUAUUCUGGAGCCUGCAGGUGCGACGGAUGGCAGCGGCAAGGAGUCCUGCAGCCGGUUUCAUCGAGGACCUCCGGUUCAUGUUCAAGGACGACGUUGCAUACCAUCUCUGCGUGCCUCAGCCAAGUCACCGCCCAGGAUCUUGACAGCGGGGCACACAGGUUACUCCUAGGUUCAGGGUGCUGCGUCAGAGAUCAUCUCCCAAUGCCUCAGGAGGAGCGCGGCCGCGGGCCAUCCGCCGCUGCUUCUCACCCUCGAAAAUCAUGACAUCCUUCCUGCUCGAUCUAACCUCGAGCAGCUCCGUUCUACAUUGACCUCAUGGUAUGGCGAUCAUCUUUUUAAGCUCUUGAUUUAGGUUCGGGUUGUUUUAGUUGUGAUCUCAAAGAUUGAUUCGGGGUUCAUGUGGAACUGCAAAAUCCUUGUGGGAUCUGUGGUUUGUGGUAUUUAUUGGGUGCAAAAAUACAUGUGCUGAUUUGGUGGUCUGAAGUGACCACCACAAGUAAUCAUGCUGACCAUGCAUUUCUUUGCUUCCAUAGAAUCCACUUUUCCUGCCACGUCUCAGUUGCCACAAGGCGGUUUCUGCUGCAUCUUACAUGUCAAGUUUAGCAAUCAUCGAGCAUGGGCAAGCGGUAGUCACUGAGGCGCCGUCGCUGCUCGAGAUUUGGUUCGUCUUCGACGCUGCACGCCGGGAGAUCAUGCAUGUUAGAUCUAUAUGCCACCCCAAUCACCUGAUAUGCUGUUUCCACCGCCAGAGUCAGUGUUUCAGGCUCCAAUGUAGACACUCUUUCCUGUGAUGGAUGCACGGAUGUACUGAGCGUGAGUUGAACUGCCCAACUGGACAGAAAUCCAGUUUUAGUAGUAACAAGAAAAUCAUGCUCGGCAACCCCGUUGGAGACACAUGCAGUGUUCGACUGAUGGAAUGGAGGAACCACAUCUUCAUUGAGCACGAAUGGGAUGCGUUCACGGAGGACAACGACAUUGUGAAAGGUGAUACUCUGUUCUUUAGUUACACCUGAUGUAGACAGCGAGAUAGUUACCUAUAUGCAUCAGGUGUAAGGUCAAGCCACAUGUUCACCUAAAUGUUCAAUUAGUUGGUCCUUUUGACGCUGCCAUUGAACUAAUAGCUAAUUGUGUUUUUUCUUUUCUAAGAGCCAUAUGUAUGCCCUUUCAAAUGAGUUGGAAAUAUUGCCAGUUCACAACAGGAUGAUGUUAGCCUGUAAGAAAAUUAGGUGGUGAUUUACCUCUCCCUCACUCUCACUUGCACUGAUUCUUAUAUAUCCCGUAUAGAUAGGCUCCUUUAGCGAUGUUAGGUGCUUCACGGUAGCAUAUACUUGGUACCACUAAGCACUUGAUUAAUUUGUUCAAUGCAACCUGCCAUUUUGUUUGAGAUCUGUCUUUUCAAUUAUAGCAUGCAAGAAUUACCCAUACGACAUACACCUACAAUUAAAGAAAUGCUCUUAUAAUCAGCUUCCAAGUUAUUGGAAUUUAUUUUUUGACGAUUCCAUCAAGUUAAAUACCCUGUACAUUUCAGCUGCAAAAACUUAUCGUUAAUUGUUUUAUUCUGC